rnacentral:rRNA from 1 species
CACGUAGGGUGCAAGCGUUGUCCGGAUUCAUUGGGCGUAAAGGGCUAGUAGGCGGCUUAGCAAGUCGGGUGUGAAAACUUCAGGCUCAACCUGGAGCGGCCAUCCGAUACUGCUAUGGCUAGAGUCCGGUAGGGGACCACGGAAUUCCUGGUGUAGCGGUGAAAUGCGCAGAUAUCAGGAGGAACACCCAUAGCGAAGGCAGCUCGCUGGGACGGUACUGACGCUGAGGCGCGAAAGCGUGGGGAGCGAACAGG